UACGGAGGGUGCGAGCGUUGUCCGGAAUCACUGGGCGUAAAGGGCGCGUAGGCGGCGGGGUAAGCGUGCGGUGAAAGCUCGGGGCUCAACCCCGAGUCGGCCGUGCGAACUGCCCUGCUUGAGCACUGUAGAGGCAGGUGGAAUUCCGGGUGUAGCGGUGGAAUGCGUAGAGAUCCGGAAGAACACCAGUGGCGAAGGCGGCCUGCUGGGCGAGUGGCUGACGCUGAGCGCGACAGCGUGGGAGCAACAGG
rnacentral:rRNA from 1 species